CCUACGGGCGGCAGCAGUGAGGAAUAUUGGUCAAUGGACGAGAGUCUGAACCAGCCAAGUAGCGUGAAGGAUGACUGCCCUAUGGGUUGUAAACUUCUUUUAUAUAGGAAUAAAACGAGGCACGUGUGCCUUUUUGUAUGUACUUUAUGAAUAAGGAUCGGCUAACUCCGUGCCAGCAGCCGCGGUAAUACGGAGGAUCCGAGCGUUAUCCGGAUUUAUUGGGUUUAAAGGGAGCGUAGAUGGGUUGUUAAGUCAGUUGUGAAAGUUUGCGGCUCAACCGUAAAAUUGCAAUUGAUACUGGCAGUCUUGAGUACAGUAGAGGUAGGCGGAAUUCGUGGUGUAGCGGUGAAAUGCUUAGAUAUCACGAAGAACCCCGAUUGCGAAGGCAGCUUACUAAACUGUAACUGACACUGAUGCUCGAAAGUGUGGGUAUCAAACAGGAUUAGAUACCCGUGUAGUC
rnacentral:rRNA from 1 species